rnacentral:rRNA from 1 species
GAUGAACGCUGGCGGCGUGCCUAAUACAUGCAAGUCGAGCGAACGGACGAGAAGCUUGCUUCUCUGAUGUUAGCGGCGGACGGGUGAGUAACACGUGGAUAACCUACCUAUAAGACUGGGAUAACUUCGGGAAACCGGAGCUAAUACCGGAUAAUAUUUUGAACCGCAUGGUUCAAAGGUGAAAGACGGUCUUGCUGUCACUUAUAGAUGGAUCCGCGCUGCAUUAGCUAGUUGGUAAGGUAACGGCUUACCAAGGCAACGAUGCAUAGCCGACCUGAGAGGGUGAUCGGCGACACUGGAACUGAGACACGGUCCAGACUCCUACGGGAGGCAGCAGUAGGGAAUCUGCCGCAAUGGGCGAAAGCCUGACGGAGCAACGCCGCGUGAGUGAUGAAGGUCUUCGGAUCGUAAAACUCUGUUAUGAGGGAAGAACAUAUGUGUAAGUAACUGUGCACAUCUUGACGGUACCUAAUCAGAAAGCCACGGCUAACUACGUG